GUGGGGUAACGGCCCACCAAGGCGGCGACGGGUAGCUGGUCUGAGAGGACGGCCAGCCACACUGGGACUGAGACACGGCCCAGACUCCUACGGGAGGCAGCAGUGGGGAAUAUUGCGCUAAUGCGCGAAAGCGUGACGCAGCGACGCCGCGUGCGGGAUGAAGGCCCUCGGGUCGUAAACCGCUUUCGCCAGGGACGAAGCGAGAGUGACGGUACCUGGAGAAGAAGUCCCGGCUAACUACGUGCCAGCAGCCGCGGUAACACGUAGGGGACGAGCGUUGUCCGGAUUCAUUGGGCGUAAAGCGCGCGUAGGCGGCCCGGAAAGUCGGAUGUGAAAACCUGGGGCUCAACCCCAGGCGUGCACCCGAUACUCCCGGGCUGGAGGCAGGUAGGGGGGAUCGGAAUUCCUGGUGUAGCGGUGAAAUGCGCAGAUAUCAGGAGGAACACCGGUGGCGAAGGCGGAUCUCUGGGCCUUGCCUGACGCUGAGGCGCGAAAGCUAGGGGAGCGAACAGGAUUAGAUACCCUGGUAGUCCUAGCCGUAAACGUUGGGUGCUAGGUGUGGGCGGACAUCGACCCCGUCCGUGCCGAAGCUAACGCAUUAAGCA
rnacentral:rRNA from 1 species